GCAAUAUGGUGAAAUCGAGGAUUGUCAGAUUGAUGACUCUUCACUUCAUGCAAUAAUUACAUUCAAGACAAGAGCGGAAGCAGAAGCUGCUGCAGUUCAUGGAGCUCGCUUCAAAGGGCAGGAUUUAAAGCUGGCAUGGAAUAAACCCGUAGCUAAUAUGUCAGCCGUGGAGACGGAAGAAGCCGAGCCUGACGAAGAGGAAAGAGAGAACAUCACUGCCUGAAUUUAGCUUUGUGACUACACGAGCAAGCCCUGUUUUGUCCUGUCUGGAGACGACUGUUAAUAAUAUCAUCCUGUCAUUUGGUUUGCUCUCUAUCAACCUGACUAGAUGUUUACAUGUACUGUGAUGACCAUUUUAUCUUUACAGUCUGUACAAGGACAUCUGAGUCCAGACGUGUAUCAAAUGUGUGAGGUUAUGACCUUAGUUAGAAGUGCUUUCUUCCCUUUGUAGCAAUUUAAUUUGUAAAACACCUUAAGAAGGAACAAGGCCUUUUAGUUUCCUUAUGAGAUGUAUUAUGUCUCGGGCAAAUUGAGAAAAAUGUUUGGGAAAUCUAUGAAGCCCUGAGAGCAUUAAUUGAACAGUUUAGAAUGAAGAAAAUGAAUUAAAAAGUUAAACAUAAGUUUGGCUUUAAUUUUUUUUUUUUUUUAGAAUAUAUUUAUUGAAUUAGGAUAACCACUAAGAGGAAGUACUUUUUCCAUACUGUCCUUAGUUUGUCUGUUUCUUGUGAGUAUUGAUCUGAUGGACUUGCCAGGGCCGUUACUCCAGUGCAGUUUCUGCUGUCCUUCUUAACUCCUCAAAAACAAGGAAAAUAAUUUUAUUUCUUUUCAAAUAAUAAAUGAUAACCCAUGGGUUCGAAAAUUGAAAAUCAUCUAUUAAAUUUGUCUAAUUUAUACAGUUUUCAUCACUUGUAAUCAAGACAUCAAAGACAAUCCUCUAAGCAAGGGGAAAUAGUGUUACAUGUUUUUUUUUUUGUUUUUUUAAUGUGUUUGUUUUUAAAGAAUAAUUUUCAACUGCUUUAUAACUGUGUGUACUAAUUAUAAGCAUUAUAGCCUAAACUUUAAAAAGUAUAAAAUUUAAAAUUUUCAUUCUAAAUAUUAACAGAAUUCUUUUUCUAGCAUACCCAGACAGUUCUCACUGUUACCUUGAGUAUUCCUUCAUAGAUUAUCAGGGGUAUUGGAGAAGUCGGAUGGGACAGCAGCUCUUACUAGGAAAAGUACAAAUUAUAUUGAUUCUAAUUUUUUUCUUUAAGUUCUACUCAGUCACAUUUUUUUCUACAAAGUUGAUCCCUGCAAAUACUUUUUUCCUCUUGAGUAUGCAUUGUGAUUGUCCUCACAAGUAAUACAAAGUAACAGACUCAUCA
rnacentral:lncRNA from 1 species